GUGCUUGUUUUGACAGCACAUACACUAAAACUGGAAUGAUACAGACAGGAUUAGCAUGACCCACGUGGAAGAAUGAUACACAGAUUUAUGAAGCAUUAUAAUAUUAA